UACGAAGGGGGCUAGCGUUGCUCGGAAUUACUGGGCGUAAAGGGAGCGUAGGCGGACAGUUUAGUCAGAGGUGAAAGCCCAGGGCUCAACCUUGGAAUUGCCUUUGAUACUGACUGUCUUGAGUUUGGGAGAGGUGAGUGGAACUCCGAGUGUAGAGGUGAAAUUCGUAGAUAUUCGGAAGAACACCAGUGGCGAAGGCGACUCACUGGCCCAAUACUGACGCUGAGGCUCGAAAGCGUGGGGAGCAAACAGG
rnacentral:rRNA from 1 species